rnacentral:rRNA from 1 species
GAUGAACGCUAGCUACAGGCUUAACACAUGCAAGUCGAGCGACCGGCGCACGGGUGAGUAACACGUAUCCAACCUGCCCUUUACUCGGUGAUAGCCUUUCGAAAGAAAGAUUAAUACCCGAUAUAAAGGAUGGGGAUGGGUUCCAUUAGGUUGUUGGUGAGGUAACGGCUCACCAAGCCUUCGAUGGAUAGGGGUUCGGAGAGGAAGGCCCACCAGAAUUGAAAGACGGCACGGUCCAAACCGCGACGGGAGGCAGGAGUAAGGAGUAUUAGUCAAUGGGCGCUAGCCUGACCCAGCCGAGUAGCGUGAAGGAGGAAUGGGUAGGAGUCGUAUACUACUGUUAUAUAAGAAUAGGUAUUAUAUGAAUAAGGAUCGGCUAACUCCGUGCCAGCAGCCGCGGUAAUAC